AAUAGAUACCCCGGUAGUCCACGCCCUAAACGAUGUCUACUAGUUGUCGGGGGGUAACUCCUUCGGUAACGCAGCUAACGCGUGAAGUAGACCGCCUGGGGAGUACGGUCGCAAGAUUAAAACUCAAAGGAAUUGACGGGGACCCGCACAAGCGGUGGAUGAUGUGGAUUAAUUCGAUGCAACGCGAAAAACCUUACCUACCCUUGACAUGCCACUAACGAAGCAGAGAUGCAUUAGGUGCCCGAAAGGGAAAGUGGACACAGGUGCUGCAUGGCUGUCGUCAGCUCGUGUCGUGAGAUGUUGGGUUAAGUCCCGCAACGAGCGCAACCCUUGCCAAUAGUUGCUACGAAAGGGCACUCUAUUGGGACUGCCGGUGACAAACCGGAGGAAGGUGGGGAUGACGUCAAGUCCUCAUGGCCCUUAUGGGUAGGGCUUCACACGUCAUACAAUGGCUGGUACAGAGGGUUGCCAACCCGCGAGGGGGAGCCAAUCCCACAAAACCCAGUCGUAGUCCGGAUUGCAGUCUGCAACUCGACUGCA
rnacentral:rRNA from 1 species